rnacentral:snRNA from 1 species
ACCUUGAAACAGGGAAAUUAUCGCAUCAAGUGACGUACCAACGGAUGAGCGAUGAUUGCUAGUUGAAAACUACUUCAAUAUGUGGAUAGGACCUUUGGGUCCGAUCCCAAUUUCUGGAGGCCUUAGGGCC